rnacentral:rRNA from 1 species
UACGUAGGGGGCAAGCGUUGUCCGGAUUUACUGGGCGUAAAGAGCGUGUAGGCGGCCAAGCAGGUCCGUUGUGAAAACUGGAGGCUUAACCUCCAGACGUCGACGGAAACCGCGUGGCUAGAGUCCGGAAGAGGAGAGUGGAAUUCCUGGUGUAGCGGUGAAAUGCGCAGAUAUCAGGAAGAACACCAAUGGCGAAGGCGGAUCUCUGGGCCGAUACUGACGCUGAGGAGCGAAAGCGUGGGGAGCGAACAGG